rnacentral:rRNA from 1 species
CAUUAUUGAAUAAACUUGAGCAGGCUGUUGCUGGCCCUUUGUGGGUAUGUGCACGUUUGUCAUCUUUAUUUCUCCAAACUGUGCACAUAUUGUAGACCUGGGAGUUGUUUUUGAUUAUUCUUUCGAGUUGGGACUGCUGUGCUUUUCAAAGUCGGCUGUUCCUUUGCACUUUUCAGGUCUAUGUCAUUUUUCACAAACCUUUGAAUUUGUUUAGAAUGUUGAAUCAGGUCCUUUUUGGACCUAUAAAAGUUAUAUAUACAACUUUCAGCAACGGAUCUCUUGGCUCUCGCAUCGAUGAAGAACGCAGCGAAAUGCGAUAAGUAAUGUGAAUUGCAGAAUUCAGUGAAUCAUCGAAUCUUUGAACGCACCUUGCGCUCCUUGGUAUUCCGAGGAGCAUGCCUGUUUGAGUGUCAUUUAAAUUCUCAACCACACUGAUUCUUUUCUGGUGUGGCUUGGAUGUGGGGGUUGUUUUCUUGCAGGCUUUUGAGAUGAAAGUCGGCUCCCCUGAAAUGCAUUAGUGGUAUCCGAGCAGAGAACUACUACAGGUGUGAUAAUCUAUCUAUGCCUUUUAGUAUGCUGCAUUAAUGGACCGCACUGCUUCUAACAAGUGAAACUCUCUUUGAUGAGAGGGGGCCACAA